UACGUAGGAGGCAAGCGUUGUCCGGAUUUAUUGGGUUUAAAGGGUGCGCAGGCGGUCUGUUAAGUCAGCGGUCAAAGCCCGGGGCUCAACCCCGGCCCGCCGUUGAAACUGGCUGGCUUGAGUUGGGGAAAGGCAGGCGGAAUGCGCGGUGUAGCGGUGAAAUGCAUAGAUAUCGCGCAGAACUCCGAUUGCGAAGGCAGCAUGCCGGCUCCACACUGACGCUGAGGCACGAAAGUGCGGGUAUCGAACAGG
rnacentral:rRNA from 1 species